UACGUAGGGUCCGAGCGUUGUCCGGAAUUAUUGGGCGUAAAGGGCUCGUAGGCGGUCUGUCGCGUCGGGAGUGAAAACUUACAGCUUAACUGUGAGCGUGCUUCCGAUACGGGCAGACUUGAGGUAUUCAGGGGAGAACGGAAUUCCCGGUGUAGUGGCGGAAUGCGUAGAUAUCGGGAGGAACACCAGUGGCGAAGGCGGCUACCUGGAGCUUUGCUGACGCUGAGGCGCGAAAGCGUGGGGAGCGAUCCGG
rnacentral:rRNA from 1 species